CAGGCUGUGAUGAUUGGCGCAGGGGUACGGACCUCAGCUGAUCAUGGGAGCUGAGUGUACGUGUUUCUCCUUUGUCCUGCGUGUGGCAGGAUGACGGCAAGCACUUACAUGAGACUGAUGCCUGAAUCUGAGCCUG
ensembl:snoRNA SNORD94 small nucleolar RNA, C/D box 94